rnacentral:rRNA from 1 species
UACGUAGGGAGCAAGCGUUGUCCGGAAUCAUUGGGCGUAAGCGCGCGUAGGUGGCUUCGUAAGUCCGUUGUGAAAGUCAAAGGCUCAACCUUUGAAAGCCGAUGGAUACUGUGGAGCUAGAGUACGGAAGAGGCGAGUGGAAUUCCUGGUGUAGCGGUGGAAUGCGCAGAUAUCAGGAGGAACACCAAUAGCGAAGGCAGCUCGCUGGGACGUUACUGACACUGAGGCGCGAAAGCGUGGGGAGCGAACAGG